GUUCACCUUAUUUGUUUCUAAUCUCUCAUCCUUCCUUAAAUUCAAUUUAGUUCUUAAAUCGAAGUCAUUUAUGUUCAAACUAGUCAAAUUAUGAAAAGCAAGCUUAUAUUAAGAGUAAUUCAUAUUUCUCGUCUGGUUUAUACAUGGCUUUGAAAAUCAGUUUUGGCAACUCUAAAUCUUAAGUUCUAACCUAUAAAGGUUCCAACAAUACUUAAAUAAAACAAAUAAACAGAAUAUUUUCAAAAUAACUAAAGAGAGGGAGAGAAUGAAGGUGGAGAAAUGUUAAU